rnacentral:SRP_RNA from 2 species
GGGUCGGGUAGGGUGGGGAGAUUCGCCAUCUCCUAUUCCCGUAUGGCGUAAAGCGGGCACCAGUAACCCUUACUCUACAGUUAACAGGUAACGUAAGUCCAGGUCAAACGAUGAAGAUCGCCCAACAGGGUUAGCGUCUGCGGACCUCUACUCCGGAGGGAGUUGAGGGACCGCACUAACCGAGGGAAUCGGUCAGGUCCGGAAGGGAGCAGCCGUACUCGGGCGCUAGCGCUUGGUGGUCUCCGGUCGGAGGUAGAUCUGGGUUAAGCUUGCGUUAUCUGUUGCUGUGGAGUAAGGGAUCCGACCC